GGCUAGUGGAUGUAAUUUGUAAUUACCACAACUGUUUAAAUUCUCUCUUUAAAAUAUUCACCAUGUGUAAUGACGAUCAGCAAAAAUAUCCUCUUCUGUCCUUUCAUGCUCACAAUCAUCAAGUACAUUUGUCUCUCUCCAACUCCAAUUAUCCUGUACACCCCCUUUAUCCUCCUGCUCACCCUCCAUCUCAAUAUCCCAACAUUCAUCCCCAGGAAGGCAAUCCAGUUUAUAAUAUUGGUUAUAAUAGUUGCCAACACCCUCAGAGUCCCAUUUUGCCCCGUUAUGUUCCCCAUCGUCCUCGUCGUCACCAGGCCAUUCAUUUUCAGCCCGUGUGUACAUCACAG